rnacentral:rRNA from 1 species
UGGGGAAUAUUGCACAAUGGGCGCAAGCCUGAUGCAGCCAUGCCGCGUGUGUGAAGAAGGCCUUCGGGUUGUAAAGCACUUUCAGCGGGGAGGAAGGCGAUAAGGUUAAUAACCUUGUCGAUUGACGUUACCCGCAGAAGAAGCACCGGCUAACUCCGUGCCAGCAGCCGCGGUAAUACGGAGGGUGCAAGCGUUAAUCGGAAUUACUGGGCGUAAAGCGCACGCAGGCGGUCUGUCAAGUCGGAUGUGAAAUCCCCGGGCUCAACCUGGGAACUGCAUUCGAAACUGGCAGGCUAGAGUCUUGUAGAGGGGGGUAGAAUUCCAGGUGUGGCGGUGAAAUGCGUAGAGAUCUGGAGGAAUACCGGUGGCGAGGGCGGCCCCCUGGACGAAGACUGACGCUCAGGUGCGAAAGCGUGGGGGGCAAACAGG